AUAAGCAAUGUGAUAUUACCGAGGUAACUUGCGGUGCUUAAUGUUGGAGAAAGUUGAUAUUCUUUUAUCAACUGUAAUAGGACAUUUGGUCCUAUAUUCAUACUGUUCUUAGGGUAUCCCUAGUGGUGAUGUCUAUAUGAAUAUGAGUAAUUGAAUAUGUUUCCUUUCUUUUGAACAUUUAUAAAUUCAGGCUUGUAAAGGGCUUUGUAGCA
rnacentral:misc_RNA from 1 species